UACGUAGGGUGCGAGCGUUGUCCGGAAUUACUGGGCGUAAAGAGCUCGUAGGCGGUCUGUCGCGUCGGCUGUGAAAACCCGGAGCUCAACUCCGGGCCUGCAGUCGAUACGGGCAGACUGGAGUUCGGCAGGGGAGACUGGAAUUCCUGGUGUAGCGGUGAAAUGCGCAGAUAUCAGGAGGAACACCGAUGGCGAAGGCAGGUCUCUGGGCCGAUACUGACGCUGAGGAGCGAAAGCGUGGGGAGCGAACAGG
rnacentral:rRNA from 1 species